rnacentral:rRNA from 1 species
UACGAACCGUCCAAACGUUAUUCGGAAUUACUGGGUUUAAAGGGUACGUAGGCGGCGCUGUUAGUCGGGUGUGAAAGCCCACGGCUCAACCGUGGAAUUGCGCCCGAAACUGCAGUGCUCGAGGGAGACAGAGGUAAGCGGAACUGAUGGUGGAGCGGUGAAAUGCGUUGAUAUCAUCAGGAACACCGGUGGCGAAAGCGGCUUACUGGGUCUCUUCUGACGCUGAGGUACGAAAGCCAGGGGAGCGAAGGGG